rnacentral:lncRNA from 1 species
CAAGCUACUACAAUUUUGUGAACACAAAACUCACAAUUUUUCAUUUUUCUCCUAUUUCACUCCCCACAAAAAUCUGGUGAAGCAACAUCCAUCUUCUCCAUUUCCUUUUCCAAGACUCAUACCUUUGUGAAGCAAUAUCUUGUUUGUUCUCGUUAUAUCUUUGCUUAAGAAAUGCCUUGAAUGGGUGGAAAUAAAUCAUUAUUUGAUUAUUGAGAGGAAUCCAUUUCAUUAAACACUAACUAGCUUACUAUAAUCCUUG